GCGAGUCGAACGUUCCCCUGUUGCGGGGAGCGUGGCGUACGGCUCAGUAACACGUAGUCAACCUGCCCUAGAGACACAGACAACCCCGGGAAACUGGGAUUAAUCCGUGAUAGGUCAUCUCAUCUGGAAGGAGAGAUGGCUUAAAGGGGUGCGAGAGCUUCUUUCUUGUACUCGCUCUAGGAUGGGACUGCGGCCGAUCAGGCUGUUGGUGGGGUAAUGGCCCACCAAACCUGUAACCGGUACGGGCCUUGAGAGAGGUGGCCCGGAGAUGGACACUGAGAGAAGGGUCCAGGUCCUACGGGGUGCAGCAGGCGCGAAACCUUCGCAAUGCGCGAAAGCGUGACGAGGUUAAUCCGAGUGGUCUCCGCUGAGGAGAUCUUUUGUCAGCUGUAAAUAGGCAGGCGAAUAAGGGGAGGGCAAGCCUGGUGUCAGCCGCCGCGGUAAUACCAGCUCCUCGAGUGGUCGGGGCGAUUAUUGGGCCUAAAGCAUCCGUAGCCGGUUCCGUAGGUCCUCUGUUAAAUCCAACCGCUUAACGGUUGACCUGCAGAGGAUACCGCGGGACUAGGAGGCGGGAGAGGCGGACGGUACUCCGCGUGUAGGGGUAAAAUCCUUUGAUCCGCGGAAGACCACCAGUGGCGAAGGCGGUCCGCCAGAACGCGCUCGACGGUGAGGGAUGAAAGCUGGGGGAGCGAACCGGAUUAGAUACCCGGGUAGUCCCAGCCGUAAACGAUGCUAGCUAGAUGAUUCAUUCGCAAGUCGCGAAUGAAGUGUCGCAGGGAAGCCGUUAAGCUAGCCGCCUGGGGAGUACGGUCGCAAGACUGAAACUUAAAGGAAUUGGCGGG
rnacentral:rRNA from 1 species